rfam:Triticum urartu cultivar G1812 contig1019640, whole genome shotgun sequence.
UUAGUACUCCCUCCGUCCGGAAAUACUCGUCAUCAAAAUGGAUAAAAGGGGAUGUAUCUAGAUGUAUUUUAAUUCUAGAUACAUCUCUUUUUAUCUAUUUUGAUGACAAGUAUUUUCGGACGGAGGGAGUAUUAG